CCUCAGACAGCGUGGCCAGCUGCCUGGCUCUCUGCCCCGGUGCCCUCAGGUGGGGCGAUGCAGGGAAAUGGAAACCUGAAAAAUGGCAGAUGGAGCUAUCAGGGAGAUGCGUGCUGCAAGACUGAAUCUCUGCAGGAGCUUGCCAUACCUGUCCGAAACUAAAGGAGGCCUGGAGGCUGAGGCUGUACAGUCGUCUGGAAUGUCAGAGCCGGGGAGCUACGGAUGGAGAGACACCCAAGAAGGCUGGUUUCUUUCUUAAGCAAAUCACAUGUUUCCAGACUCUCCUGUUUCCCUUUUGUUCAGAAGGCUAGACACUCAGGAAGCUGCUCCUGCAAGACCCCGUGGAAGCUGCCAGGCAGAGGUCUGGAGUGACAGAGAAUCUAGAAGAGCCGGGAUCAACUCGCCAUUUGUUAGAGAGUCUGUGACCGCAAGGUGGCCAGACCAUCGCCAUCUACAGAUUCACCUACCGCCUCAAAAGGAAGAAAGACAAGCGUUUACUGAGAGUUUAGCACUGCCACCGGGACUAGCCAGGAGCACACAGCCCGCCCCACAGCGCAGACUCCCUCACUGGGGCAGCCACGGGGCGAGGAUCACUAACCUCACCUCUUCGGAAGAAGCACUGAUCAACUCCCUCCCUGAAUUGUUAGGGGGUCUUAAAAAAUUCGUGUAGCUAGUGGCGGCGGCAGUGUGUCACUAACAUCAUUUAUAAAGGUGU